CGCGAAGAACCUUACCUGGGCUUGACAUCACCGAAAUCACCUUUAUACGGUGAGUGCCUCGAUUUAUCAAGGAAUCGUGUGACAGGUGCUGCAUGGCUGUCGUCAGUUCGUGUCGUGAGAUGUUGGGUUAAGUCCCGCAACGAACGCAACCCCUGUCUUUAGUUACCAGCAUUAAGUUGGGGACUCUAGAGAGACUGCCAAGGUGACAACUUGGAGGAAGGUGGGGACGACGUCAAGUCAUCAUGGUCCUUACGUCCAGGGCUAGAAACGUACUACAAUGGUUGGCACAGAGGGGAGCAACACAGCGAUGUGAAGCAAAUCCUUAAAACCAACCUCAGUUCGGAUUGGAGUCUGCAACUCGACUCCAUGAAGUUGGAAUCGCUAGUAAUCGCGGAUCAGCAAUGCCGCGGUGAAUACGUUCCCGGGUCUUGUACACACCGCCCGUCAAGUCAACCGAGUUAUU
rnacentral:rRNA from 1 species